UGGACUCACCGGAGCAUUAUGAUGAUGUCAUAAUUACUGGACAGAACUUUAAAUGUGUAACAGAGGGAGAUCAGGAGGAGUAUGAUGAUGAUGUGAAGAACAGCAAUGAAGAUGAGAGAAACAUGCUGGACUAUGAUGAUGUGGGGGAGUAGUCAAAUAAAGUGGGAGGAGCCAUAUGACUCUGAGGAGACUGUUUAUGAAAUCAUAUUACAGUUACUGGUUCUACUGAGAGUUUUUUAUAUUUCUACUAAUGCAUCAAUGCCUUCUGUUUUUGUUAUUUUAAUAUUUUUUAUGAAAGUUUUCAUGCUUUAUUAUCAAAUCUUAGUAUUUGUAUUUUACUAUUUGGCCUUUUAUUUUGAUAUCAAUGCUUUUCAACUAAUAAACAAAAUAUACCAUUCAUCAUGUCACAAAAAUAUAUUUUUAAAAGAACGGUUAGAAGAAAGGAGAAAUUAUGCAAAAUUCUAUAAUGUUUAAGAAAGCACUUUUAGGCAGUACAGCUUCUGAAAGCAUUUUAUGGCUAAAUAUAAUAAUAAAAUAUAGAUCGACCACUUAUUAGAUAUUAUAAAGCAUCAUGUUUUUUCACAAACAAACAAAAGAAAACACUCACCCAAACUGCAGAGUUUAUUGUGUGAUGGUCUAUUUUAACUCUAAACAGUCUCAUUUUAUGGUUGAUACUGAAUUAUUUGUGCUGAGCUUGAAUCUUUUGCAGCAAUAGCUCCAUAUGCAGAUUGAGGUUGAGCUGACCUUUCUUGGUUUUUCUCUUCAACAACUGAUAUGUGGCUAUUUUCUUCUCCUUAUAUAUUUUCAGCGCCUCCUCUCGCUGAGCUUUGUCUUUCAAGAAUUCCUACACAGACACACAUAAUAAAACAUGCAUCAAUCAUUUGCCAAAGAAUGUAAAGGAUGAUUAAAAUGUGUUGGUUUACAUGACAUAACGAGUCUUCCUUAAUGACAUCACAAAGGAGAUUGAUUAGGAAACUGAAAACUGUACAACAAUUCCAUCAUACUGAUGGCUUAAAGAAGUGCAUUUGUCAGUUUUUAUUUCCUCUACCUCUUGUUUUCUUGCACGUUCCUCCUUUAUCCUUUCCCUACACAGACACACAUAAUAAAACAUGCAUCAAUCAUUUGCCAAAGAAUGUAAAGGAUGAUUAAAAUGUGUUGGUUUACAUGACAUAACGAGUCUUCCUUAAUGACAUCACAAAGGAGAUUGAUUAGGAAACUGAAAACUGUACAACAAUUCCAUCAUACUGAUGGCUUAAAGAAGUGCAUUUGUCAGUUUUUAUUUCCUCACCUCUUGUUUUCUUGCACGUUCCUCCUUUAUCCUUUCAUAUUCUUGCUUUGUCUUCUGAUACGAUGACAUUUUCUGCUUCCUUUGGAUGAAUGGAGUCUUAUGGGAGCUGAUGACACAAAUCAGAAAUGUGGCUUAGUGUGUGUGUGUGUGUACUAAGCCACAUUUCGGGAUAUUCCUCCUCUAACUGGAUUGAUGAUGGUUGCAUUUUCUUCCUCUUUUCAGAGAAGUUUGUUAUAUUCAUGUUUUAUCUUCUCCUUCCUUUUGAAGGCAAAUCCCUGACCUGAGAAAGAAUGAGAGGGAGAUGAGAUUCAAACAGUACACACUCUACAUUUAGUCCUAGUUAAUAUUUGUUGUAUAUUUCGGUCGAUGACAUGACGCUCUUUUUUCUGGAUCUAUUACGUUGAUCAAAAAUAUGUUGUGGCAAUUUAUAAGAAAAAUACGUAAGUUAACUUUUUUUGUAUAACAUGAUAUUAACGUUUUCAAAAAUGUAACCAGCGUUAAAGCAAGGAUACAUAUCUAAGAACUAGGCACGUGCGUUUUACAGAUUUUUCUCAUUUCAGACGUCUUUAUUUGUNNNNNNNNNNNNNNNNNNNNNNNNNNNNNNNNNNNNNNNNNNNNNNNNNNNNNNNNNNNNNNNNNNNNNNNNNNNNNNNNNNNNNNNNNNNNNNNNNNNNUGUUCAUUAUCGAAGGCGAUUCAUCUGCGAUAAUGAACGCGAUAUUGCAUAGCACGUCAGUGAUAUAUGGCUCUGUCUAUUAAAUGCCACUCCAUUUGAAAGCAGGUGAUGGCGAUUUUGCGGUAAUCACAGAACCAGAUUUACUGCCUAGAUGCGCAUGAUCAUAUCGUUCAAUAUAUUGCCCAGCCCUAAACAGAGACCUAAGAUCUUAAGAAGAAGCCAUAUUUUUAAUGAUUAAAAAAGAGAAUUGUUAACGAUAUUGCCAGUAUCCACACAGCUGAGAGCUUUACCUGUUUAAGUUUGUUCAAGUUGUGCACGAAAUAGACACUUUUUAUAGCAUUUUUACUCGCACGUCUCUAUAAUUUCGAUCUUUCUCGCGCUGCACAACUGAGCUGUGUUAAGCAGGUGUGCGACAAUGCUGCUGUGCUACAGAGAUAAGGACUGUUUGAAACUCUUUUUUUUCCACUAAAACAUCAAUGUGCAUUGUCUCAGUUUAAUAGUCGAACAUAACAAAAGAUGUGAUCACAAAACAAUCAGGAAAAAAAGCAUUACAUGCAAAUUUUUAAGUUAUAACAUGUAAAUACAUAGGCCUAGUCGCCAGUGGCACCCUCAGCAAAAACUUUACUCGCAAUUUAAUAUUUAUGGUCGCAGUUUGGAGCCACGUACAUAUGAAUAUAUUAUUGGUGAUUUCAUUAAAAGUCACAUUAAGGGGGUCAUAUGAUGUUGCUAAAAAGAACAUUAUUUUGUGGAUUUGUUGUAAUGACAUGUGGUUUAAGGUUCCAAAAAAACACAUUUUCCACAUACUAUACAUUUUCUCCUCUAUGCCCUGCCUUUCUGAAACGUGUUGAUUUUUACAAAGCUCAUCGGUCUGAAAAGUGAGGUGUGCUCUGAUUGGCCAGCUGUCCAGUGCGAUGUGAUUGGCCGAAUACCUCAAGCAUGUGACGGAAAUGUUACGCCCCUCACCAUACUGUGAUGCCAUCUCCCGUCACGACUCGACAAAACCAAUAAAACCCAUUACAAAUGAAGCAUUUGUUGCAUCACGUGGGGACAUAAUUACUGAUUAUAAUGACUUAUACUGUCUUUUUACGCAUCGCAUUGCAUUGGAAUCAUCAGUGGAAAAUUCUUUAAAUAUAAAAAAAAAAUAGUACUUACAGUCUGUGAGUCAGAGCAGCCAGCAGAUCAGGAAACAGCCCUCCAUAAAAUGCAUUGCACACAUCUGAAUAUUUGGGUCGAACUGUUCUGGAACAGUGUUGUAAAUACAACUUAACCACUGAUUUCUAGUCGUGUACUCUUUUAGAAGGCCAAACAAAGUAGUUUUUCACUUAGAACACUGCAUUUCACCCCAAGCUUGAU
rnacentral:lncRNA from 1 species